UACGUAGGGGGCAAGCGUUGUCCGGAAUCAUUGGGCGUAAAGAGCGCGUAGGCGGCCCUGUAAGUCCGCUGUGAAAGUCAAGGGCUCAACCCUUGAAUGCCGGUGGAUACUGCAGGGCUAGAGUCCGGAAGAGGCGAGUGGAAUUCCUGGUGUAGCGGUGAAAUGCGCAGAUAUCAGGAGGAACACCGGUGGCGAAGGCGGGACUCUGGGCCGAUACUGACGCUGAGGAGCGAAAGCGUGGGGAGCAAACAGG
rnacentral:rRNA from 1 species